CCCCAGUAACGGCGAGUGAAGCGGCAAGAGCUCAAAUUUGAAAUCUGGCACAAGCCCGAGUUGUAAUUUGAAGAGGAUGCCUCGGUUGCGGCCCCAGCCCAAGUUUCUUGGAACAGAACGUCAAGGAGGGUGAGAAUCCCGUCCGGCUGCCGGCUUAUACCAUGUGUGGCUCCUUCGAAGAGUCGAGUUGUUUGGGAAUGCAGCUCAAAAUGGGUGGUAGAUUUCCAUCUAAAGCUAAAUACUGGCGAGAGACCGAUAGCGCACAAGUAGAGUGAUCGAAAGAUGAAAAGCACUUUGAAAAGAGAGUUAAACAGUACGUGAAAUUGUUGAAAGGGAAGCGCUUGCGAUCAGACUCACUAGCGGUUGAUCAACGUUCCUUCUGGUUCGUGCACUCUGCCGCCGGUGGGCCAGCAUCGGUUGGGACGGCGGGACAAAGGCGCUGGGAAUGUGGCUCCUCGGAGUGUUAUAGCCCAGUGUGUAAUGCCGCCUGCCCCGACUGAGGUCCGCGCUUCGGCUAGGAUGCUGGCUUAAUGGUCGUAAGCGACCCGUCUUGAAACACGGACCAAGGAGUCUAACAUCUAUGCAAGUUUUUGGGUGCAAAACCCAUGAGCGCAAUGAAAGUGAACGGAGGUGGGAGCCUUAGGGUGCACCAUCGACCGAUCCUGAUGUUCUCGGAUGGAUUUGAGUAUGAGCAUAGCUGUUGGGACCCGAAAGAUGGUGAACUAUGCCUGAAUAGGGUGAAGCCAGAGGAAACUCUGGUGGAGGCUCGCAGCGGUUCUGACGUGCAAAUCGAUCGUCAAAUUUGGGUAUAGGGGCGAAAGAC
rnacentral:rRNA from 1 species